GGAAGCAGAUGUAUUUGAGUCCCAUCAAGCAUAAGAACCCAAGAGCCAUAUGUGCAUUGGUAAUUCUAUGGGAAUAAUUUAGUAGAAUAGCCAUGUACAAUUCAUGGUUUCAAGAGGAAACCAGGCAGAGUUUGAUCCUGAAUACCAAAACAGAACCACUCAAAGCUGUGAGCCUGCACAUCUCAUUUCAGCCUGGAUUACACUUUCCUUACUGGAUAGAGGUGAUGGACAAUGGAAGCACUGACCCUUCCUUAACUACAAGGCUGUUAAUGGAAGCUACUGAAUAGUAUGUGCAGUUCUGCUCGAUACAGAUUAACCCGGGGGAAAAGAAUUUUCAGCACAGUACAGAAAUUUAAAGCAUUCCUUCCUUUCUGAAAACUGUGCAAACUGCAACCGCUGGGUCUCAGCCAACUAACUGGAGGAACAAUGUGGAUGGUUGAUGAAGCCUGGAUUUGCCUCUGCAGGAAGAAAUGAGCUUGUCAGACAUAACAUGAAGCGCUGUCAGUGCUAAGCAGUGAUUCUUCCAUAG